rnacentral:rRNA from 1 species
CGGGUGAGUAACGCGUGAGCAACCUGCCUAUGACAGUGGGAUAGCCUCGGGAAACCGGGAUUAAUACCGCAUAAAAUCGUAGAAACACAUGUUUUAACGGUCAAAGAUUUAUCGGUCAUAGAUGGGCUCGCGUCUGAUUAGCUAGUUGGUGAGAUAACAGCCCACCAAGGCGACGAUCAGUAGCCGGUCUGAGAGGAUGAACGGCCACAUUGGAACUGAGACACGGUCCAA